UACGUAGGCAGCGAGCGUUGUUCGGAGUUACUGGGCGUAAAGGGUGUGUAGGCGGUUUUCUAAGUUUGGUGUGAAAUCUCCCGGCUCAAACCGGGAGGGUGCGCCGAAAACUGGGAGACUAGAGUGCGGAGUGGGAGAGUAGAAUUCCUGGUGUAGCGGUGAAAUGCGUAGAUAUCAGGAGGAAUACCGGUGGUGUAGACGGCUCUCUGGACCGCCACUGACGCUGAGACACGAAAGCGUGGGUAGCAAACAGG
rnacentral:rRNA from 1 species